rnacentral:pre_miRNA from 1 species
UGUUCAAUGGAAUGUUUGAUAUGUGUUUUACCUUGGUGACACACUGUUCAAUCCUAUGUGUCACCAAGGUAAAACACAUAUCAAAAAUUCUAUUGAACA